rnacentral:sRNA from 1 species
UAAUAAGGGUAUAAAAAAGAACGUGCACUAACACGUUCCCUAUAGAACCGUUUAAGACGGUGACUCGUUUAUAAGUUAAUAAAUA